UACGAAGGGGGGCUAGCGUUGCUCGGAUUUACUGGGCGUAAAGCGCGCGCAGGCGGCCUUUUUAAGUCUGAUGUGAAAUCUUGCGGCUCAACCGCAAGCGGCCAUUGGAAACUGGGAGGCUUGAGUACAGAAGAGGAGAGUGGAAUUCCACGUGUAGCGAUGAAAUGCGUAGAUAUGUGGAGGAACACCAAUGGCGAAGGCAGCCUUCUGGGCCAAACACUGACGCUCAUGCACGAAAGCGUGGGGAGCAAACAGG
rnacentral:rRNA from 1 species